GAAAGCAGCUAAGAGAGGCGACGAGAGAAGGUUUUGCACCGUGUUGCCAUUGCAUCGUUCUAGAACUCGACCUCGACGCUCGAGAGAGAGCGUGGUCACUAAGAAGUUGACGGUGGUGCUGGCCGAUCUAGAUCGAGAGUCAUGCGUGAAAGGACGGGCUUGACGUGAAGGAUGUACACGAUUGGAGUGGAAGGGAUAAUCUAUGAUUGUCUUUACUUCCUUUUUCACCCUCACUCGAUGGUACACGAUGGCCGGCCAACAGUGAUGACCAAGGUGGUUAGAGGUGAUGGCAAUCGUCUGUG
rnacentral:lncRNA from 1 species